UACAGAGGGUGCAAGCGUUGUUCGGAAUUAUUGGGCGUAAAGCGCGCGUAGGUGGCUUCGUAAGUCCGUUGUGAAAGUCAAAGGCUCAACCUUUGAAUGCCGAUGGAUACUGCGAAGCUAGAGUACGGAAGAGGCGAGUGGAAUUCCUGGUGUAGCGGUGGAAUGCGCAGAUAUCAGGAGGAACACCAAUAGCGAAGGCAGCUCGCUGGGACGUUACUGACACUAAGGCGCGAAAGCGUGGGGAGCAAACAGG
rnacentral:rRNA from 1 species